CGAGGAUGAGGGUGCCGGUGAGAUGCUUCCAACGCUUGGUGAUGGGGUUCUUCAUCUUGUCCAGCCCUGUGUGCAGAUCCUGAAUCACGUCCCGGUAGCUGUCACCCAUCUGGCUGCUCCAGGUGAGGAGGAAGUCAUACGCGGGCUUCCACAUGGCCUCACUGUCCACCACCCCGCUCUUGUCGCGGUGCGGGGCCUCGUAGGCAUCCAUCUGCUGCUUGGAGACCUUGGCCAGCUUCUCAGCCAGCUCCCUCCAGCGUUG
rnacentral:lncRNA from 1 species